CCUUGAGGUCUAUAUAUUCCAAAGAACCCAAGGGUGAAGUCGACCACUUUCCAGACCUACUGGCGGAAGUGUGGUCAAUCGAUUAAGUGCCAUGAGCCCCGAGUUUAGAUCUUCGACAUCUUCCGGAUUGAACGUCUGUGUUUAAGCAAUGAGCAUCAUUCACGAUUUGACGGACGGCUAGCUGAUCUCCCACUGGAAGGGCUCGAUGAAGGGCUUUCUAAACAAAAAGCUUUACCUUUGGAGCAGUGUGAAGAUUCCAGACUUGCUCAUUCCAGUUCACCACUGUGAGUUCACACUGGUCUCAGUCGUUCCAAAAUCCUCCGCAGCAACUAGGAUAAGGUGCUUAUAGCGUGGGAGGAUUACUUCUAUUUUUUCCAUGUCCCACUAAGAAGAGUUAUCUUUCAUUAGAUCCUUCACUAAACUCUUGGAAAGCUUCCGGCUGGGAACCAAAAGGUCUUAAUAACUCCUGAGACGAAACCCAAGGAUCAUCCCAAAUCUUGAUUGAUCCACCAUUUCCUACUGCCCAGCCUAAUUGUUUAAGAAGCAGGUCCCUUUCUGCUAUUAUGCUUUUCCAGCCGUGGGAGCACACAGAGGGAAUUGUACAGUCCAAGAUGGAGGUUUCUGAGAAGUAUUUUCCUUUGAGGAUUCUUCCCAAGAGACAGUUUGACUUUGUUAGCAGCCUCCAGCUAAUUUUUGCCAAGAGUGCAUCAUUGAAAUCAGAUAUGUCUCGAAAUCCCAAGCCUCCAAAUUGUUUUGGUUUUGCCAUCUUUUCCAUGAUAUCUAGCUAGUUUUCCUUUUGUUAGGUGAUGAGUCCCACCAAAAGCGUAUAAGGAUCGACUGGAUUUGUUUACAUAAGGAUACUGGCAAUUUAAAGCAUGUCAUUGCAUAUGAUGGCAUCAAGGUCACAACACUCUUCAACAUUACAAGUUUACCAGCUCUAGAAAGCAUCCUAGAUGCCCAACUUGCAGAUUUUUGGAUUAUGCGAUCAACUAUGGAUGCAAAUAAGUCAUUUUUCUUUCUUCUGAAGUGUUCUGGAAGACCCAUGUACUUUCCUACUCCUCCUUCAACUUCUAUAUGUAGCAGCUGCUUGAUUUUCUCAUUGACGGUGAUAUAUGAUUUUUGGUAGUUGAUCAGUUGUCUAGAUGCUGCUUCAUAGUCUGAUAGAAUUUGGUGUAGGGCCCUGCAGUUUUUCUCAUUUGCUGUGCAUAUAAACAUUUUAUCAUAUGCAAAGAGCAGAUGAUUAAUUCUCGGGCACCCUUUAGCCACUUUAACCCCGUGUAGUUUGCCUGAAUCCUGAGUUUUACAGCACAAGCCUUAGAGAAUCGCACUGCAUAGGAUAAAUAAGUAAGGGGAGAGGGGGUCUCCUUGUCUUAUUCCCCUGCUUGGUUUGAUAUAUCCUCUUGGGGCUCCAUUUAGCAGAAAGGAAAUGGAGCACUUCAUGUGUGACGAGGACAUUAUCAAAUACAGUGGAACCUCUAUAAAUUAAUACUCGAUAAAUUAAUAAUCACUAUAAAUUAAU